UUUUUUUUUUUUUUUUUUUUUUUUUUACAGUCUUCUCCGCAAAGAACCUGCAAAACACAAGAGUGCAACGAUGCAGAGUGCAGGAACAUGAAGGGUGCAGAUGCUCCAGAUGCAGUUUAGACUACCAACAACUAAUAUUGAAAUCCAAAAACAAACAAACUGAUACGAGCAAACAGAAGCAGAUUAAAUCCCGAAGGAUCAAACCUGCUCUAAUACCAAGUUGAAUAUCAGAGUGCGCAACGAACAAGACUAACAAGAAUAAGAAUAUUAUUAAACAAACGAGAAUGCCGAAACGGCUACAAAACCCUAAGAUGCUACAUUGUGACUAACUUGAUUAUUCUAUAGAGUUACAAAGUAUCAUAUAUAUAGAAAACUAACCUAACCCUAAUAGGCAAGGAAACGAAACCCUAAUACUAACGGGCUAAGCCCAAAAUACCAAACAUUAAAAUAAAUCUAAAUAAUAAUAUUUUCCAACAGGAAGUGCCAAAGAUUCACCAGUAAAUGGGAUUAGAUAAACAAAAAAUGGCCGAAGUUAGGUCUACCAUCGUAUAGGCACAAGAAGCCAUUGCAAGAACCCACAAUUUCGACUGCGAACCCGUACUCAAUACUGGAGUCUCUAGAAAGCCUCACGACAUCGCUGUGUUGGGUUAGAGUGCUCGUCGAGGCCAACCACGAAGUGACCUAUCGACUUGGCACAAGGGGCGUUGAAGCAAUGGAGCAAAAUGCAAGCCGGUGCUUGUGAAAAUAGGGACAUGGUGAAGUGGCGGUCUGAGAGCCAGUGGACACUCGUCUGCAUUGGGUGAGCGUCUUGGUUGAGAUCUCUAUUAUUGUGUGGCUGGAAAUUGCGGAAUGUACAAUGUGGGGUUUCUUCUCAUGUUUCUUUAUCUUCUUCUUUUGAAGGUUUGUUAGGGAAAUUUGCAAAAUUAACCAAAUUUUAGACCCUAUAUAUUGAAUUAUUGCCACCGUUUUAAGUUAAGGAUCAUUAUAACCAAAAUUUUACAUGAAAUUACUAACAUACGCUUAAAAUGAGUUUUCCCAUAUAACCAAAAUGAAAAAAAUUUAAAAUUCAAGCUCAAGAAAUGUUCAUUCAGAUUGAAUAUGCCAUGUUGGUCGAAUCUAGCCAGAAAACUGUCGUUCUCCGGUCACAUAGCAGGGAAUUCGAAACCCAUAUAGUCAAUCCUUGCCAAAGUUGUUUAUUUGAGAAAAAAAAGAAGAGGAAUUUAGCUCCAAAAGCAAAGCAAAUCAACGAGCUUUAUAGGAUCACACAAGCAAUCAUGGAUAGCAUCGUUGACACUAUCAACUCCGCAACCAUCGUCAUCUCAACCGAAGCUAGUGCCCAGCCCACCACCGUCUUUGUAACUCUCUCUCUCUCUCUCUCUCUCUCUAGUGCAUACAAAUCUUUAUGCAUGUGUGCUUUUUUUUUUCUCUUCUCAUUUGCACCAGAAAAGUAGAAUUGCUGCAUUUGUAGAAGCUUGAGAAAGGCUUAUCAUCCCUUGACGCAGUGCAUUAGGGACUGAAAUGUGAACAAACAAGUAAAAGCAGGAAAACUAUCAAAUAAAAAAUCCACAUAACACAAAUUGAGAGAAGAGAUAUCAACUAAUAUGACUUUAGGGUCCUUGUUAUACUCUGUUUGGUUGCUGAGAAACUCUGGGAAUCUAAAACACACAUAUAUGGACAGUUGGAUUUUGCGUUCUUACUCGUAUUUUCAAUCCUAAGAAUGAAAACUAUCAACGUUUGAGUGUUUUUGUAGGAUUUUUUUUUUGGUUGUGAUAAGAAAACUCAUUUUAAGAGUAUACAAAUACUUUCAUAUCAACUUUUAAUUAUAAUUAUCAUAAACUUAAAAGGGUGACUAUAAUUCUAUAUAGAGUCUCAACUGUUGCUUAUGGUUUCAAUUGUUGUCGUGUAGAUAGGGGGGAGAGUUCAAUUUCCUAUUUUUUGAAUUUUCACAGAUACCGUUUUCAUUAACUCACGAGUCUUUUUUAACCCAGUUUCACACUAAACCCUUUCUGAUGAAUUCAUUUUCAACCGUUCAAAUUUAAUCCUAUGGUCUACAUCCCAUCUGCACACACUGUCCGCAAAGCUCCGUUUGCACCUUAGAAAUCGCCCUCUUUAUAAACUGGCCUGGCCUACACGGCACAACCCAAUUCCAGGCCAAAAUUGCAUAAACCCAACUCCUUUUAAUUGUUUUCAGAAGAGUGGUAGUUUUGUAAUUAAAUGGAAAUAAAUGGAAACGUAGCCAAUUUGACAGUGCUUAUGAACAAUGCCAAACUCCCCUCAAUUUUAAACUAUAGUAAUAAUUCCUAGUAUUGGUGAAUCAUAUGAUGGUGGUCAGGAGAAGACUGAAAGUCUUCUCGGCCCUUGGAAGAGAGGAUUGUCGUGGUGAAACCACCAGUUAGUCCAUUUUUUAAAUAAAAUAAAAUAAAAUUUUGGAAUCAAACUUCAUUCAUUUUCCAAGUAGUCCUAAACUACUGAAAAAUUGGCAAAUGUACCAUUUUCCGUUGAGAUGUAGAUUUUACCCCUUUUAGAUCUACUCCAACCCUUAGAGUAAAAUUCAAAUUUUAGGUUCUAAACCUACCCCAAUUUGCUCCAACCCAUAGGGUAAAUAUGAGUUGUAACCCAUAACUCAUUUCUGGGGCAAAUUUAGGCCAGGAUUCCCUUUGGGUUAGUAGGGUUGACCCACCAAAUAUAUGUAUUUUUUUUUAGUUUUAUUUAUAAAUUCAUUAAAUCUAACCGUUAAGAUCUAAUAUGAUCAAAUCUAAUUGUAAAAAAAAAAAAAAAGAUUUAACUCUCCAAAUUUAGACCCAACGGCUAAAAUAAUUAAAAACAAUUGUUUUUUCAUAUUCUUUCAUAGUGUCUGAUGAGUUUCAUGGUGUCAGUUUAGUAAUUUUUCAAUAUUUGUCGGAAUCUAAAUAUUUUUAGGUUAAAAUGUUCAUAAAAUUAAAUUAGGAUAGUCUACAAAUAUAUAUAUAUAUAUAUAUAUAUUUAAAGUUACUUUAAGAAUCCUAAAUUCAUUUUUUAAUAAUCUCGGACUAAAAAUUUAACCCAUAAGAGUUAGAGCAGAAAACAUAUUUCUAGGUUAAACCCUAAAUUUUUUGGGUUAAAAAUUUAAACACGUCGGUUCUUGCACUAAUGCUAGCUAGAAACAGCGCAUUAGCUACGUAGUCCUUGGACAACAUCUUAUUUCAUAGAAAUAUUUCAUAUUCAUGACAAUACCUAUGUGUUAAAAUUAAUAGGGUUUAUUUGUCCUAUUGUAUAAAGGGAAUUUUGUCCUUUCAAGUACCUAUAUUUUUAGGCUAAUAUGUAAAGAGGCUGUUGACUUAUUUGAUGCAUGGUUAAUUUAUUUGAUACAUUUAAAAAAUAAAAUAAUUUUUUAUUCAAAUGAUUUUUUGUCAAGAUAAUAUUUAAAGAAAGAUUAAGAAAUUGAACGGUUCUAAUUAUAAAUUUUCUAUGGUAAAAAUACGUAUUUGCAAGUAGUCAUGAAUAGCUCAUCCCCGAAGAGGGGAAUGCAAGAGUAUUAUUCUUUAUUUAUUUCAUUGAAAUUAUUACAAAUUCAUGACAAUACUAAGCGUCAAAAUUCAUAAAGUUUAUUUCUCCUUUAGUAUGAUAUAAAGGGAUAUUACAUAAUAUCCUUUCUAGUUCUAUUUUUAGGGUGAUGGACAGAAUGUAAUAACGUAGUUUGGUCCACCGCUGCAUGUAAAGGUGCUGUUGACAUCAUCAUAAGCGUAGCUAUAAGCCUGAGGGCACUGGUCCUCAAAGAUCUUAGAGUAGUCUGUGGGUGGACAUGUAGCUGGUGUGUCAUUAGGAGGAGUGCAGCAGUAUUGUGGUUGAUUAAAUUGUGUACACGCACUCUUGCAUGCAAUUACGCUCCCAUCGGACCCCUUCACUUGCAGCUCAGCUGGGCAAACAGCGUUGACGUUGGCGGGGCAAGAAGAGGUCUGGCAGUCGCCCGUGCCGCCUUGUGGGGCAACAGACACGGGCAAGUUGAAGCCAUCAACAAGACUUACGUCGUAGAAAUCUUGGCCUCCGUUUGCGACAAUAUUUAUUUCGACUAGGCUUGCUGGUGGAACUGCUCCGUUACCGUUGCAUGUGACUUGGCCAGAGCUACACUCUGCUGUGGCACAACUGAACUUUCCUGAGGCGUCAGUGGAGCAUCCGGUUCGGCCCCAGAAGCGGCCUUUCCAUGGGACUGGAGUGGUCAAGGAACUGCUAGCGCCGGAUGCUAACUCGAACCCUGUGGAGGAUAGUUGUGGUUGUUGAUCGGAGGUUAGGGACCCUGGCCAUACGGUAUAGGGGCAACUGUUGGUGAAGGUGAUCGUAGCUGCAUGUGCACCUACAUGCCAAUUGUAAACGAAUAAUCAUAUAACCAUUAUGUUAACAAAAAAAUAUCUCUAUAUCUCUAUAUAUGUGUCUAUGAUGAUGUUACCAACUAUGGAUCAAUUUGAACACAAAUUAAUAACGUUCAAACAAAACAAAAAUCAUCAGUUUAAAAUUUCAUGUCUAACAGUUUAACGAUCGAUAUAACAUUUUUCAUGAAUCAUGACACGUACCAGAUCACAUACAAAUAACCGUAAACAAAAAGAACAGAACAAGUCAAUUUGUUUACCUGCGAAGAAGAUGGCUAAGGUGAGACUGAGGAUUACUUGGUUGUUCAUCAUGAUUAAGCAAUCACUUCUUCAAUUUGCUGCCAAAUUAAUUUGGUGAUGAAAUGAUGAAGUUGGGAACCGAUGGGCCUUUGGUUUUAUAGGCAUAAGCGCAUACCUAACUUUAGACUUUUUUAUUUUUGCAUGUCUGCUACAUGAGGAUCCACGUUACCACUAAUAAGUGAUGAGACGACUUGUCUUAAUUAUGGCUUUAUUAGGCGUAUUUGGUCCCUGGACUGACCCCUAGCAAGCUAUUUCCUCAUUCAACCCAAGACAUUUCUCCGCAAAAAUGCCAAACAGGAGUUAAGUGGGACAAUUUGAGUUUACAGGGUAAAAUGAGAAUGAACUUGAGUUUCAGGAAGCGUCAGGAUAAAGCUUAUUUCUUAUAAAAAAAUAUAAGGAUUAAGUACCUAGAACUCCUCAAUCUUUUAGUGUCAUUUCAAAGUAGUCCCAACCUUUUUAAAUAUUCCAAACAAGUAACUAGUCUAUUGAAAAUUUCAGAUCUGUUAAGCAUCAGUUAAAUUUAUGUUAAAUUAACUACAACUUACAUUAGGUUCAUUUUCGAUCCAAUUCAAUACCUGUUAAAUCAUUGGGUUCCAUAUGUUUGAAAUUUAGAUUUUGAAGUAAAUAGUAUUAGUGUUGAUCAUGAUAUGCUCUGUUGGUGGGUUUGAAUAUAAACGCAGGAAUGGAGUUUCAAUGGUUGUAGGUUGAGCUUGAAGGUGAUAUUUGGGAAUUUUCGAUUACGUGAAUAAAGGUAAUACGCCUUCUAAAAACAAAGAAAACAACAAGCUAAAUAAUUUACAGUAACGAUGUGAUUCUCGGUUAUUGAAACUGUAAAACAACCGAUGUCGGUAUUUGCUGAUAUCAUUGCUACCAUUCUACGUCACCAGAGAACUUUCAUUGUCAAAACACAGCUGGUAUGGCUUCAUAAUUGAAUUCCCAUAAAAUGCCAAACUUUAUAUGGUCAACAACACUGCCGUGAUGGACGGGCCUAAAGGCUGCAAGUUAUCGUGCAUGAGGGGGUUAGGCUAAGGAAUUAUGAUUUGAAGACUCACACAGCAGUGGAAUAUUCCACAAUAUUAUUACUUAUUAUUCUUCAUUUCUGGAUUACAAAUUUCACAGCUACUCAAUGGCGAAGCCAGGAAUUCUCGGAGGAAGGGGCGAACUUAAAAGAGUGCAAGAUUAAAGAAAAAUGACAAUAAACAAAUCUUUUUAUAUAGUAAUGUCUUCUAUAAUUAAUCAAUACAAAGGAAGAGGACUACCCAAAAUACCCAAAGGAUGACUACUCGGAGGAGGACUGCUCGAAAUAUUUGAAGGUGGAGGAGGACUACCCGGAAUAUUUGAAGGAAGAGGAGGACUAUCCAGAAUAUUUGGAGAAGGAUUUAAACACUGUUUUUUAUAGCAUCGUUCCAUUACGUAAUUGUAUAAUGAAAGAAAAAAAAUAUAUCUUAGACUCUUAAUCCUAGAGUAGACUAUAAAGUAAUAUAUAAUCAAACCAAGAAUUUAAUUAAUCAAUUCCAACAAUCAUAUGAAUAAUCAAGAAUUCAAUUUUUAUUCUAAACAACAACUGGUCAUUAGGGUCUUUUAAGUAAUUGAGUAAGUUGAUUAGGGUUUAUAGUGGUUACGGUAAUCAAUUUUUUGUCAUUUGCAAAGCUGCAUUUUAUUUAGGGUUUUAGUUGGUUGAGUUGGGGUUUAUUAUGUUAAUAUAAAUAUGAUGUAAAUGUCUUCACCAUGUUCAGCUGUUUUUUUUCUUGCUAGACCAUGUGUGUAUUCAAGUUCCUAUAUAUAUAUAUAUAUAUAUAUAUAUAUAUAUAUCCUCUUUUAUGUACUUCAAAAAAAAAAAAUCAAUAAUCAUCAUAGUAUUCAUAUAAAUAAUUUAUAAUCAAUAACCAUAUAAUGUAUUACCCUAUAAUCUUAUAUCAAUUAAACAAAAAUUCAGAUUCACUAAUCUAUUAGGGUUUGAAAUAAAUAUAAAUUUAAACAGUAAUAUAAGUAAAAUCAAGUGUUCAAUAACCUAUGCUACCACACUAGUCAAAGUCGCCUAAUGGGACUUGUACGAUUGAACCUAUUGCUCAUCAAUCUAUGCUAGCACAUGAGUCGAAGUCGCCUAAUGCAACAUGUACGACAGAGUUUGGUGUAAUCAUAAUAUACGCUCUAGUGCUACGAUCACGUGAAGACUGGCGCUAUGCGCGGUCACCUACGAGUCGGAGUCGCCUAAUGCGACCUGUAAGACAUGACUGACACCUACUUGGAUCCAAGGUGAGUGUGCAAUGCGGGAGGUGAACAUACAUGUGAAGCACUUGCUCUGGCCCGAGGCGAGCACUAACACCGAGGGGCAGCAAUGAUGAGCAGACUACAUGAAUAUAAGCAUGCCAUAAUGAUGCAAUAAUUCUAAUCAACAUAAUAACAUUCAUAGCCGUAGAUAUAAUUAUGGCAUCAAAGAUUAUAAGCAUACCUAUGCAUCUCGUAGGAUGUAACACGUUUCAUAAAUUCCGUCAUUUCGCUAAUUUUUAUAAACUUUAGUCUAAUCCAGGCAUAGGUAAGAAAUUCUUUUUCAAAUGCAUAAUUGGAAACUAUCAAUCAUAUAUAUACUAUAAAAAGGAAAAGACCCACUCACCUGAAGUCUGCGUUACAACUCCCUAGCACGAAUAUCGAGAUGUCUCGAACAAUCGGCGCCUAGAACAAUGAUCAAAUCAUGUCUCAGAAUUAUUAUCUAUAGAACACGUAACUUACAUAAAAUGCAUCCAAACAGAAUUCUAGAAUGAUUGCUAACCCAUUGACCAAAAGUGAACCAUCGGUCAAAGGUAGAAGGUAGGGUCCACAACCCUAGGUAACUCGAUCAGGAAGAUCCGCACCCUGAAUUUCCAAUCCGUAACUUCCCAAGAGUUUCAAUAAGCUUCCAAAACAACAUCCUAAAGUUUCGGAACGAUCUAAUGGUUGGAUCUUCGCCAAUCGCUAAAAUAAAGUGGCAGUUGACGUUUUAUUUUACGAACUUACAAAUCCAAUUCGGGAAGAUCCAUACGUAGGAUUCCCGAUCCGUAAGUUUCUAAUAUCUUCAAAUAUUAUGUACUAUAACGUAUUAAAGUUUGGUGAUGAUCCAACGGUCAAAUCGUCGAAUCAUAAAUGGUCAAGUGACGUAGUAUUCCAUACUAGGUUCAAACUAUCAAACUAUAACAAACGGUUAUCAAAUUGACAUAAAAUUUGACUCAAAAAGGCAGCGUCAGCCCACUAGCCAUGCUCUGCCGUACAUGGCGGUCGGCCACCCCGACUCGCCGGAAAAUUCAACUAAUUCUAAAAAUUCUAAAAUUUUACUAGAAUGAAAAUCUCAAUGAGUAGAUCAAGUUUUAUACCUGUGGCCAAGUCCAAUUUGGCCGGAAAAAGCUUCAAAUCUCCACGAACCCGCCGGAAACCCUAGAAAAUGGUGGUUGUCGAUUCGGCUUCUUCGGUGCUCCGCUGCUCCAACCAAGCCUUGAGACUGUUCCUAGGUUCAAGAGAAUUCAACCCAUGGUGGUGGUCGACGGAGUUUGUUUCAGAAAUGGUUGAUCGCUGCCGUGAGACCCUCGGCGCCACUCACUCGGUUCCUCAUGAAACUAGGGCUAUAAGCUGUCGAGUUUGGGUGGGAAUUGAAGAGGGAAGAUCGAUGAGUUAGGUGAUGGUGUUGGAUGGCUUCAACAUGCCGGAAAUCCGACAAAAAAAGCAACGGAAAAGUCAAUAGAAACUUGGUCAAAACCCGGGUCAGGUGAGGGUCCGAGUUGGGUGGUCUCAUCUCUUCUCUCCCUUCCAUCCUUUCCUUAUUUCUGAUUGGUCACUCAUUUUUCUUCCUUUUUCCCGAUUGGAAUAGUUUUCUCGCUAUAUGAGCGUGAAAGUUCAACGAUCAAAAGAUGCCUUCUCGAGCUAAAAGCUUGUCUAUUCUUUUCAUUUGUGCAUCUGGGCUUGUAGUUGCGUUGCAAGCGAUUCUCUCUGUCAGGCAUACCUGAUAGUGUCCCCCAUUUUGUUUCGCUUUUGAGCGAAGUCCUUAUUUCUUUUAUGCAAUUUUAUUUCUUCUAUAACAACAUGAUGUUUUCCCCCUUCUAUGGUUGCUCUCCCUCUCUCCCGCCAUUCUCUUCCAAUUGGGCAGCAGGCAUCUUUUUCCUCUCAUUCUCUUUCCGGUUGGCCAAUACUCCCACUCUUUUCUCUCAACUAAUAAUAAAAUAAUAAUAAUAUGAUAACAAAACAAUUUCAAAAUAAUAAUAUAAUAAUUAUGAGAAAUAUAUAAGAUAAUAAAUAGUAAUCUUUACAAGGGUACUUUUUCGAAUUUGUAGUUCUGUAAAAUUUUAACCGUAACUCUAUAUUCGCUUCCGCUUGCCUACGCGUCCGUAUCGUUGAGUACUUCAAGAAUAUGAUAAAUAAUAGCCCAUACGCUUCACGAAAUGAUGGUCAACUGGAGUCAACGAUCUCGCCUCUAAGGGCAUUUUCGUUAAUUCACUCAUUUAAAAUUUAUAAAAACAUAAAAUUAGGGAUGAGUUAUCACAAAAAAUACGUUUGCGCCUUGAAUUGGGUUGGAAAAAUUUCCAAAAUUUUGGGCGAAAAGAGUGACCCAAAACAAAGUCGUAAUUACCAUUACCAUACCAUGCCAACAUAACUAUUUGGCAUGCCAACAUAACUAUUUGGCAUGCCAAAAUUCGGUAUACCAAAAGUUUGGCACAGUAAAGGUAAUAGGUUUUGUCAUACCAAAAGUUUGGUAUGGUAAUUGGUACAUGGGUUUUGGUACAAUAAUCGUACCAAUACCACCCUUAGUGUUAGUUGAAGGUCGUAACAGUUGCAGUGGCAAAUUUUGUAAUUUUUAUUUUUUUUAAAUGCAUUUAAGUAUCAUAAUACAUGAUGAACUUUUUUUAAAUGUAUUUAAGUAUCGUACCAAUAACAUAAAUAUUGUUGAUAUAUUGUCAAUAUUGUAACUUUUUAUUGAUUUUAUACAAAAUCACCCUUUUAUUUAAGAGUAAAUUGUAGCAAUGGUCCAUGAACUUUAAUCAAAUGGGAGCAAUGGUCCCUCAACUAAAAAUCCAUUACUAUUGGUCUCUCAACUUAUCAAAAUGUGUAGCUAUAGUCUUUUUCAUCAAUUUCUUCAAAAUUUUGUCAAAAUAUGUAAUAACCAUUUAUAUAAUUAAGGUCCCUCAACUCAUCAAAGUGUGUAAUUAUGGUCCUUUUCGUCAACUACGUAAAUUUUUUUGUCAAAAUGAGUUAUGUUGGAAGGACCAUUGCUACAAUUAGGUUGAAGUUAAGAGACCAUUUCUCCAGUUGAAUUAAAGUUGAGAGACCAAAGGUAAUGAAUUUUUAGUUGAGGGACCAUAGCUGCACGUUUUGAUGAGUUGAAGGACCAAUGGUAAUGGAUUUGUAGUUGAAGGACCAUUGCUCCAAUUGAGUUAAAGUUAAGGGACCAUAGCUACAAUUUACUCUUUAUUUAAUUGAAACUAAUUUAUAUCCCACUUGAUGAACUUUUUAUGUUCUGAAAAACUUAAACCAUUCAAUUGAAUUAGAAUGCGUGAGAUAUAUGAAUGUUUAGAGGUUAAAACUCUUGAAAUCUUGAACUUUUUUAUUUGUGUUGAAUAGAUUUAGACCGACCAAACUAAACCGAGUCAAGCUAAUUAACUAUGGUUAGGUUUGGUGUAGUUUUAAUGACGGUAUUGGAGGUACAGAACCAAACUGAACCUUUGAGAACUAAUUGAAUCGGCUUUUUUUUUUCUUAUGUCAAACUGAAUCAUACCAAUCCGUACCACCCCUAAUUUAGGAUGUCAACGAACCAGGGUUAAUAAUUUGGAUCCGUGGAAAUGCCCUGAAUCCAAAUAUGGAUGUUGCUCGUAACUGGGCUUUUGCUAGUUCAAAGAAAUAAAUACAAAUAGAAUCGGAGAGGGUCAUUUUCCGGUUGACGAGAAUUUGUCACUUUACGCCGCCUAGCACCAGGCGCCAAUUGCUAUUUAGAUGAGUGUGGUAGUUGAGUAAUGCUAUACUUACCGCUAGUUGUACAAUUAUUUAUAUCAUUUUUUUAAUAGAGAUAGGAAUCCACCAACGUAUAUAUGUCUCAUCUCUCUAAUAGAGAUAAGGCCCGCCAACACAUGUAGGUCUCAUUUCUAUUAACAAAAUAGUAUAAAUGAUGAUAGAACUACGUGAUAAAAGUAGCAUUUUUGUAGUUAUUAUGAUUUCGUUUAAUUAGUUAGUCUGUUAGACAAAACAUUAACUUUUCUAUAUAACAAAGGGGAUAAAACUUGGGUACUGUCUUGUCAGUACCAGACUGACUUAUUAGAUGGCCCAAUAAUUGUCUAAGGGUGAGUUCGGUAUGGUUACCGUACCAAAAUUCUUGUACCAAUUACCGUACCAAACUUUCGGUUUGGUAAAAUCUAUUACCAUUAUCGUACCAAACUUUUGGUAUAAUGAAGUUCGGUAUUGCCAAAAGUUCGGUUGGCAUGGUAUGGCAAUGGUAAUUGCCUUUGCCAUUUUGUUUUAGGACAAAAUCUGUUUUUGUUUUUUUAACCCAAUUCAAGGGCAAAACUUUUUUUUUGUAUCUUUAUCUCAUACAUUAUAGAUUAAAUUCAUCUAUUAUUCAUCAUUCACAAUUCACAUACAUAAUAAUUCAAAUGAUGCAUCAAGAUUCAUCAUGAAAAUUAAGCUUACAAUCCAAAUAGAAGUUAACAAUCCAAAUAGAAAUUAAAGUUUCAAACCAAAUGAAAAUUGGAAGUAAACUUCAAAAAGGAGAAUUCAUUGAUCAUUUAUUCAAGUUUGGGAUGUCGAAGCUUUUGGAGAAGGCAUUGAACUUGUAGAAGAUUGAAUUUGUGUCAAGCCUACAUUACAAACUAAAAAAACAUAUUAAUUAGUAGCAAGAAGAAUUAAAGUUGAAGACCAUUUAAUAACAAAUUUACUAAAAAAAUUAAAGCAUAUCUUUCUUGUUUUCUCUUCUUCCAUUUCUUUGUAAAAUCGAAGCAUAUCAUCUGUUGGUUCCUUGUAGAAGUUUACUUCAUUUGCCCUUAAGCCAACCACUAGUACGCACUAGUGCCUCCAUUAUUUUAAGAGUCAAAGAUACCCUAAAAGGGUCCACAACCCUCCUCCCUAGGCUAAAUGCAUUUUCACCAGCAAUAGUAGAAGUGGGGGUUACAAAGAUAUUAUGGCUAUUUGUGAAAGAAUUAGGAACUCUUUUGUGUUUGAUUUCUUUCCACAAUUUCAAGAGAUCAAAGUCACACACAACAAUGCUAAUAUAAGUAGGGUUUUAUUUUCAAAUUAUUGGAAUAUUAUAAAUAUGUGUUAUAUAAUUAUCUAUUAUAUAAUUUAUAAAUUAUAAAUUGUAUUACAUUUUCGGUAUGGUACGGUAAUACCGUGGUAAUGGUAUCCAUUACCAAUACCGUACCAUGAAAUUUUGGUACGGUAUAAUACCGUACCAUUACCGAUUGGAACAAAAAUUUUGGCAUAAAAUCGGUAUUGUACCGGUUGGCAAUUCGGUUGGUACAGCAAUUUAGCAAAAAAAUCCACCCCUUGUCCACCACCUGUCUUUAAAACUCACAUCCAAAUUCUUGCUAUCCUGAUAACCAAACACCUAUCUUCUUCCUCCCUUCCCUGUGGCAGCCGCUCCGUCAAUCCCAACCUCUCUCCUCCGUCAUCGUUAUUCCUCUGCAAACCCAACCAAACUAUCGCCCUUUCUCUGCAAAUUCGACAAAACCAGUGCACCAACCAAAACCAAUUCUUACAGGUGCCAUGAAUUCGAUUACUCAACGAUUUCAUAAGAUACAAUUAAUCAUCGGUUCUAAAGCUGAUGAACGACGGUGGCUGUUGGUGGUGGGUGAGGACGGUUGUCGAAGGUGCAAAAGACAACAAAGAUGGCGACUCCCAUCUCCAUAUGGGUCUUAUUUUGUUCAUCUUGAAAAGAAAUCAUUUUUUAUUUAAAUUUGCAAUUAUGAUGAAUGGCAGCCAUGGUGGUGAUUGGAAUGGGCGAAGGAAGAUGAAGGAAAAAGAGUGAAAAAGUUGCAGGGAAGAAGAAACGAGGUGUUUGGUUGUGUGUUUCAAGGUGUAUGGUUGUGUGAAUUAUGGGAAAUCAAUUUCAGGUGACCGAAGCUAAGUAGUCUUAAAUUAGUCCAUAUUAUUUUCGUUAAUUGUUUUUAGCGGGUAUUCGCCUAGACCCCCCCCCCCGGCCCUUUCCCCGUGUUAGUUUUAUUUUUUUUUUUUCUUCAUAUUAUUAAUAAAAUCUUGUAGAGGGGGACGGGUGGGGGGUUUCUGGGUGCAACGGUCCUUUCUCUUUUGGAAGAGGAUUGGUGCCUCGUACGCAACUGUUGACGAAGAGCUAAUCUCACCUAAUCCGUCUCUACAAAAAAAUUUUUUUUUUUUAAAAAGUGUAUGGUUGUGUUUAAGAGAAUUCUUAGAACACAGGUGUCCUCAGUUUAGUGGGCCACAUAAGCAAGUCAGCAGUGGAAUUAUUUUGAUUACGUUAACGUCUCACUGACUUCGUAGUUUUCUCUGUAUCCAAACACUCUCAUCAGUUCGGUUUUUUCAUUCUUUUCAUGGUAUCAGGCACGAUUGUGCCCCGCAGUUGUUGAUUACAAUCUUCAUUGUCUCUAUUUCUCUUCAGGUUCUUCAUUUAUCCGUCUCUAAUUUUGAUUGAGACUGAAAAUUGCAGACAACUACCCCCGUGCCCAUCGGGUUCCCAAUAAAUGUCUCUGCAUGUUGAUUUUCCAAGGAGGAAAGAGGUAAUUGCAUAGCAAACAUAACAUUUUUUUCUUAUGUUUGAAGAAAAACUACAUGCAUGCGGUAAGUACAUAAUCUAAAUUGCAGAGCCGUCUCAAUGCAAACUUAAUCCUAAGACGAAAAUAAAAUGAGGUUUUUCUAAUUUAGUAUGUGGUUUUUUUAUAGGCUAGUUAAAUUAUAAAACUUUUCAAUUCAAUCCACCACCAUCUCCACACCAAAGUAAAUUUAACCAUUUAAGGCACAUUAAAUAAGAUUUAGGAAAAUAGUGGAAGACUUCAUAAUCAACAACAGUCGCAGAGCCACAAAGAUGCAAAAAUUUUGUUAAUUACCUAUUUGAAUCUUAUGCACAAUAAAUAGAACCUUAAGGUUAGUUUCCCAUUUGAUUUCGUUUCCUUGUUGACUCUUAAUCUCGAUAGAUUACAAUGUUGAAAGCAACUCCAUAGGAUAAAGAAGAGGGCACCAAAUUUCGCCUCUACAAUAAGAUCUCCUUAUCAUGAAACAAUUAGUAUAAUCUCACUCCAAAAAUGGAUGUUGAUUGUUGUACCAAAAGAAGGUUCAAUUUUGACAGUAAUAAAAGAACAUACACAGCUGAUGAAAACGAGAGACAGCUAACUAGCUCGUGCAUGAGAGCGUGCGAAGAGGCUAGCAAUACUGUGCUUGUAAAAAGAGAUGGAUAUCGCGGUCAUGCCAUACAUAUGAUGUCAUAAUUCACACACCGGAUGGUUUUAUUUUAUUUAUUUUAAAAGAUAAGUUCAUACUACAUUAUUUUCAGUACCACAACAACAACAACAACAACAAAGCCUUUUUCCCACUAAGUGGGGUCGGCUAUAUGAAUCCUAGAACGUCAUUGCGCUCGGUUUUGUGUCAUGUCCUCCGUUAGAUCCAAGUACUCUAAGUCUUUUCUUAGGGUCUUCCAAAGUUUUCCUAGGUCUUCCUCUACCCCUUCGGCCUUGAACCUCUAUCCCAUAGUCACAUCUUCGAACCGGCGCGUCAGUAGGCCUUCUUUACGCAUGUCCAAACCACCGUAACCGAUUUUCUCUCAUCUUUCUUUCAAUUUCGGCUACUCUUACUUUACCUCGGAUAUCCAUAUUCCUAAUCUUAUCUUUUCUCGUGUGCCCACACAUCCAAUGAAGCAUCCUCAUCUCCGCUACACCCAUUUUGUGUACGUGUUGAUGUUUCACCGCCUUCAGUGGCCUAUGAUGGUCACACAACACGUCGGAUGCACUCUCCCACUUCAUCCAUCCAGCUUGUAUUCUAUGGUUGAGAUCUCUAUCGAAUUCUCCGUUCUUUUGCAAGAUUUGCUAAUCCCCCGUUGUUUCUUUUUCAUGUUUUUUUUUUUUUUUAGUUACUGACUUUGUUUCUAUUUGUGUCUUUUAUUUUUACUUAUGAUAUUUGAUUUAGUUUUGUUUCCUUGAUUUCAAGUACUAGAGAAGUAAGACAUGGAUUUUGCUACCAUUCAAGCUCAAUUGGCGAAACUUACUUCUCAAUUGUCACAAUAUGCCGAAGGGACCACAAUGCAAAGUGUCCCUACAGAUGGUGUGUCCUAUGGGCAAGGAUAUCCAACUCAUCAAUGUUCUCAAUUCGCUACGAAUGAAGAUGCUUGGGGUUAUCAAGGCCAUAGCCAAUCAAGGGACAACAUGUUUUCCAACGCUUACAAUUCGGAUUGGAGAGAUUAUUUAGAUUACAUGUGUGGAGAACCGCAACAAUUCCAACAAGAUGGAUAUUGGCAGCAAGAAGAGGAGUUCUAUCACUGGUCAUAUGAACAAUCUGCCCAAUUCCAUUCGGGUACAUCUUUGGAUAAUGAUAUGUUUAAUAAGUUACUCACCUCUUUGAACCAGGAUGUAGAAAUCCGAAACAAAGAGGUGCAAAAUCAAGCCAAGAAGACGGGCGAAUUGGAAAAGCAAUUUGGGCAAAUUAUGGAGUUCACGGCACAAAUUCAAGAGCAAAGUGAACUCUCCAACUCAACUGUUGAAAAUUUGAAGGGAGAUUUUGAAAUCCAUGAUGCUAUCACUUUGGGAAGUGCUAUGGAGGUUGGAGGUGAACCCAAGACGUCCAAACUAAGCCAAAACAUGGGUGAACAGCUGCUGCUCGAAGAAGAGGAGAGUAACAAGGCCACUACAAGGAAAGAAUCAAGUAUCACCUUCCAUUUAAGGAUCAAUUCCGUGCUAUGGGCCCUAUUUAAGUUUAGAAGGAAGUUUCGUCCGGUUGAAGGACGUUAAAGUCAGCGCUUCUUGGAAGGCAACCCAUGUAUUCAAAUAAGGAAGAUUUUUGAAUCGCUUCACAAUCAGUUUUGCGUUUCUAAAAACCUUCCAUUUUCUGCAUUUCUAUUUUGCCUUGAUUGUCAUUUUUUUUUAUUUAUUUAUUUAAUUUUUGUUGUUUAUUUAAUUAUUUUUGGGUGUGGGUUUAUUUUUGAAACAUUGACAGAUCUGCAAGGUAUUCUUACAUUCAUUUUCAUGAAAAAAAAAGGAACAUUAAGCAGAAAAUUACACAAACAAGAAGGAGUUUUCAUUGGUCAGGAGGUGUAACAGCAGUUGAAGGAACAUCAGAAAGACGAAGUGUCAGAGCUUGAUUGUCCGGAGCACUUGGUGAAGCACCAGAUGAUGAAGACAGAAGUUGCCUCGGGAGUAAAGCCAUAAACCUUUGAUGAUCACUCCGGGCCCGAACUUCAGCCUCCUGCAGCUGGUCCAACUUCAUCUUCAUGCUCGUUGAGUAACUAGUUGCGAGCAUGUGCAACUCUUUAUUUUCAUGCCUAAGCGUUUUGACCUCUUGCCGAAGGCUAGCCACUUCAGCCAUCAACGACUCAACUUGACGAGAUCGAGCAAGAAGGCGUUGGCCCAUGUUUGAUACUGAGCCUGCACACUAGACGCUGAAAGCUAAAGAAUCAUGAAUAGCCUGCUCAUCAGACCGCUUAGAUAGCAUCCUACUGUCUCGUGGAAUGAGAAGAUUUCUAGCAACCACUGCAGCUGUUGCAUCAUUUCUCAUCACAGUGUCCCCAACUGUAAGAGGACCGUUGGAGGAUAUGAAGGAUGGUUGCCAAAUGUUACCUGGAGAAGAGAGGUCAAUAUCUUCUUCGAUAUUCAAGUCAAUACGACGGUCGGAGGGGCCAGACAUUUUCAGAGGUGUUAAAGAAAGAAGAGGUCAGACAAGUCAAGAUCGUCGAAGUGCAAGAAGGGAGUUUUCACAGGCAGAAAUUCAUAUGUGCUUUGAACAUCCUGCGUACCUCUAUAAAAAACAGCACGCGAUAGGAUUUUAGAGAUCGAAGAGGCGAGUUCAAAGAUCGAAGAAGCGUCUGCUUUCUCCAAAGCUAGGCCUACUCCGGAAUCACGGGCUGAUAUCAGAAAUCGAAGAAGUGUCAGCUUUGUCAGCACUCGUCAGCACCCGUCGCACGCAAACUCAGCUUUGCGAAAAUCACAGAAAAGUUGUCGAAGCAUCGAUCUCAGAUAGCGAAGAUGCGCCUGUCUUUCUCAGCCUCGUCAGCUUUGCGAAAAUCACGGAAAGUUUGUCGAAGCGCCGAUUCCAAACCAUCUGUCUUUCUCAGCCUCGUCAGCUUUGCGAAAAUCACGGAAAGUUUGUCGAAUAGCCGAUUCCAACCGCCUGUCUCUCUCAGCCUCGUCAGCACUUAUCACAUGCAGAGAAAGCUUUGAGGAAAUCACGGGCAAUCUGUCGACGAUUUCUGUUAAAGUAGAAAACACGUGAAGUUUACUGUUUAAUCAUCCAACGAUUGCCGACAGGAGUGAAAGAACAGUACCGGUUAUUAUUUCCUACAAAUGUCGACCUUCACGCUCCAUGACAAGGCAGACAUACAUAACAUUCCGUCAUCUCCGAGAAAUGGCUUUCCAACAAACCCUCUCGACUCACUCAGUGUUCUUUAUCCCAUGGGAUACCUCUGCAAACACAUCUUCAAAAGCAAAAGUAUUUCAUAUCAUGAAGGUAGAAAGCAAGAGUAUCUCAUAUCAUGCAUUCUCCGUGUCCUUUUCCUUGUCUUUGUUCUAACCUGUAGGACAAGGAGAAGGAAAGCAAUCAGCCAGCACUUGGUAUCAAUCUUCUGAUCUGGAACCGACUGCUUGGAACCCCUUCCUGAUUGCUUACAUGGUAUUGCUCUCGAGUACUCGUCUUCCACAGGCAGAUGUGGUAGACGAAGAGGAAGCAUAAGAUGAUAAAGAUGAGUACUCAAGAGUAAGGCUAGGAGAACAGAUAAGGAAAUACAGUAUGCGCAAUCAAUCCAGCAGAAGAAGUCUGAAAUGAAGAACUCGAGAAGCUUCAAUUCAAGAUCAAAGCUGUGGAAAGUCAAAAAAUCACAUCCAGUUGUGAUUCAUAAGUUGUGAAUUCAAUUUACUUAUUCGUUCGUAUAAAAAUUGAUUUGUGUAUAUGCUGCGAUUCAUAAGUUGUGAAUUCAAUUUACUUAUCCGUUCGUAUAAAAACUAAUUUGUGUAUAUGCUUAUGUUUUUCAUAAAACUUAAUGAUUAUUGCUUGUAUCUUUAUUAUGCAAUUCAUGUAGGGAACUUGUAGGGAAUGUUUUGGGUUGUCGUAUGCAAUCAUCCAACUAUAUGAAUCUUAGAACGCCAUUGUGCUCGGUCCUGUGUCAUGUCCUCUGUUAGAUCCAAGUACUCUAAGUCUUUUCUUAGAGUCUCUUCCAAAGUUUUCCUAGGUCUUCCUCUACCCCUUCGGCCCUGAACCUCUGUCCCGUAGUCGCAUCUUCUAACCGGAGCGUCAGUAGGCCUUCUUUGCACAUGUCCAAACCACUGUAACCGAUUUUCUCGCAUCUUUCCUCCAAUUUCGGCUACUCCUACUUUACCUCGGAUAUCCUCAUUCCUAAUCUUAUCCUUUCUCAUGUGCCCACACAUCCAACGCAACAUCCUCAUUUCCGCUACACCCAUUUUGUGUACGUGUUGAUGCUUCACCGCCCAACAUUCUGUGCCAUACAGCAUCGCCGGCCUUAUCGCGGUCCUAUAAAAUUUUCCCUUGAGCUUCAGUGACAUACGGCGGUCACACAACGCCGGAUGCACUAUUCCACUUCAUCCAUCCAGCUUGUAUUCUAUGGUUGAGAUCUCCAUCUAAUUCUCCGUUCUUUUGCAAGAUAGAUCCUAGGUAGCGAAAACGGUCGCUCUUUGGUAUUUCCUGAUCACCGAUCAUCACCCCUAACUCAUUUUGGCCUCCAUUUGCACUGAACUUGCACUCCAUAUAUUCUGUCUUUGAUCGGCUUAGGCGAAGACCUUUAGAUUCCAACACUUCUCUCCAAAGGUUAAGCUUCGCAUUUACCCCUUCUUGAGUUUCAUCUAUCAACACUAUAUCGUCUGCAAAAAGCAUACACCAAGGAAUAUCAUCUUGAAUAUGUCUUGUUAACUCAUCCAUUACCAACGCAAAAAGGUAAGGACUUAAGGAUGAGCCUUGAUGUAAUCCUACAGUUAUGGGGAAGCUUUCGGUUUGUCCUUCAUGAGUUCUUACGGCAGUCUUUACUCCUUCAUACAUAUCCUUUAGAGCUUGGAUAUAUGCUACUCGUACUUCUUUCUCCUCUAAAAUCCUCCAAAGAAUGUCUCUUGGGACCCUAUCAUACGCUUUUUCCAAAUCUAUAAAAACCAUGUGUAAAUCCUUUUUUCCAUCUCUAUAUCUUUCCAUCAAUCUUCGUAAGAGAUAUAUUGCCUCCAUGGUUGAGCGCCCUGGCAUGAACCCAAAUUGGUUGUCCGAAACCCGUGUCUCUUGCCUCAAUCUAUGUUCAAUGACUCUCUCCCAGAGCUUCAUUGUAUGACUCAUUAGCUUAAUACCCCUAUAGUUCAUGCAAUUUUGUACGUCACCCUUAUUCUUGUAAAUAGGCACCAAAGUGCUCUUUCGCCACUCAUUUGGCAUCUUCUUCGUUUUCAAAAUCCUAUUAAAAAGGUCAGUGAGCCAUGUUAUACCUGUCUCUCCCAAGCCUUUCCACACUUCGAUCGGUAUAUCGUCUGGGCCCACUGCUUUUCUAUGCUUCAUCUUCUUCAAAGAAACAAUCACCUUUUCCUUCCUGAUUCGACGAUAAAAUGAGAAGUUUCUACACUCUUCUGAGUUACUCAACUCCCCUAAAGAAGUACUCUUUUCAUGUCCUUCAUUGAAAAGAUUAUGAAAAUAACCCCUCCAUCUGUCUUUGACUGCGUUCUCUGUAGCAAGAACCUUUCCAUCCUUAUCCUUGAUGCACCGCACUUGGUUUAGGUCUCUUGUCUUCUUUUCCCUUAAUCUAGCUAGUUUAUAGAUAUCCAACUCUCCUUCUUUGGUGUCUAAUCGCUUAUACAUAUCGUCAUAAGCCACUAACUUAGCUUCUCUCACAACUUUCUUCGCCUCUUGCUUUGCUUUUCUAUACCUUUCACCAUUUUCAUCGGUCCUAUCCUUGUAUAGGGCUUUACAACAUUCCGUCUUAGCCUUCACCUUUGUUUGUACCUCCUCAUUCCACCACCAAGAUUCCUUUUGGUGUGGAGCAAAGCCCUUGGACUCUCCUAAUACCUCUUUUGCUACUUUUCGGAUACAACUAGCCAUGGAAUCCUACCUCUGGCUAGCGUCCCCCUCUCUAUCCCACACACACUGGGUGAUUACUUUCUCUUUGAAAAUGGCUUGUUUUUCUCCUUUUAGAUUCCACCAUCUAGUCCUUUGGCACUUCCAAGUCUUGUUCUUUUUUCUCACUCUUUUGAUAUGUACAUCCAUCACCAACAAGCGAUGUUGAUUAGCCAAGCUCUCUCCCGGUAUAACUUUGCAAUCCUUACAAGUUUUACGAUCCCCUUUCCUCAUUAGAAGAAAAUCUAUUUGUGUUUUUGACGACCCACUCUUGUAGGUGAUCACAUGUUCUUCUCUCUUCUUAAAGAAGGUGUUGGCUAAAAAGAGAUCGUAUGCCAUUGCAAAAUCCAAGAUAGCUUCCCCAUCCUCGUUUCUCUCCCCAAAACCAUGGCCACCAUGAAAACCGCCAUAGUUGCCUGUCUCCCUGCCCACGUGUCCAUUUAAAUCUCUUCAUAUAAAUAACUUCUCCAUCUGGGCAAUUCCUUGCACCAUGUCUCCAAGGUCUUCCCAAAAUUUCUCUUUCGAACUCGUAUCCAACCCUACUUGAGGUGCGUACGCACUAAUCACAUUGAUGAGUUCUUGUCCUAUUACAAUCUUGAUUGCCAUGAUUCUAUCUCCUACCCUCUUGACAUCUACAACAUCUUGUGUCAGGGUCUUGUCCACGAUGAUGCCAACACCGUUUCUCGUUCUAUUUGUGCCCGAAUACCAAAGUUUAAACCCUGAGUUUUCUAGAUCCUUUGCCUUAAGACCAACCCACUUAGUUUCUUCUAGGCACAUAAUAUUUAUCCUUCUCCUCACCAUAACUUCCACUACUUCCAUAGAUUUUCCCGUUAAGGUUCCUAUAUUCCACGUUCCUAAACGCAUUCUACUCUCUUGAACUCUACCAUUCUGUCCUAGCUUCUUCACCCUCCCUCGUCUAAUAGGAUUAAAGUACUUCUUUUGUGUGUCCUGUGUAAAGUUGAUAGGAGCAUAUGCUCCCAAACAACUUUGAGUGGAGUCGUUCGAAAAGAAGUUUCUAUGGCCCCCUUGCUCAUUUAACACUGCAUCCGGGUGCCGAUGGAGAUACACCCUUGCUCACUUAACACUGUGCUCGGGCCACACAGCGCGCCACAUGCGGCAAGUACAUAAUCUAAAUUGCAGAGCCGUCUCAAUGCAAACUUAAUCCUAAGACGAAAAUAAAAUGAGGUUUUUCUAAUUUAGUAUGUGGUUUUUUUAUAGGCUAGUUAAAUUAUAAAACUUUUCAAUUCAAUCCACCACCAUCUCCACACCAAAGUAAAUUUAACCAUUUAAGGCACAUUAAAUAAGAUUUAGGAAAAUAGUGGAAGACUUCAGAAUCAACAACAGUCGCAGAGCCACAAAGAUGCAAAAAUUUUGUUAAUUACCUAUUUGAAUCUUAUGCACAAUAAAUAGAACCUUAAGGUUAGUUUCCCAUUUGAUUUCGUUUCCUUGUUGACUCUUAAUCUCGACAGAUUACAAUGUUGAAAGCAACUCCAUAGGAUAAAGAAGAGGGCACCAAAUUUCGCCUCUACAAUAAGAUCUCCUUAUCAUGAAACAAUUAGUAUAAUCUCACUCCAAAAAUGGAUGUUGAUUGUUGUACCAAAAGAAGGUUCAAUUUUGACAGUAAUAAAAGAACAUACACAGCUGAUGAAAACGAGAGACAGCCAACUAGCUCGUGCAUGAGAGCGUGCGAAGAGGCUAGCAAUACUGUGCUUGUAAAAAGAGAUGGAUAUCGCGGUCAUGCCAUACAUAUGAUGUCAUAAUUCACACACCGGAUGGUUUUAUUUUAUUUAUUUUAAAAGAUAAGUUCAUACUACAUUAUUUUCAGUACCAGAUGGAUAAAAUUAGACAGCAAUUGCAAAGAGAAACUUUAAUGAUUAAACCCAAAUAUCUGAAGUGCAGUCACCACCAGGAUAUCUCAUUUCAUGGGCUAGGGAAGGACCAUCCGGUUCAGCUCCAAAGUCGACGAAAAAGUUCGGGUUUAAUGCAAGACCACCCUUCUCAGUGUCAACAUCAAGCUGUAGCAUGUGAGAUCCUUUCUCCAGAAGGUCGGGGUAAAAUUGGCGAUCCCAUGUACUGAAAAGGGAGUUGGUGACAUAAAGCCGCUUCCCAUCCAAACUUAACUGGAUCAUCUGAGGUCCACCUCUCAACUUUUUCCCCUGAAUGGAAGACAUGAACUCAUCAAUCAAUGUUAAACAGUAAAACGAAAUUUCCGGCAUGAAAUAUCUUUGAGAACUACUAUCAAGCAUGGCAACUAUGAAUGUACUUAUGCCUCAUAAAAGCUAGAUGUAUCUAUCUUUUUAUACUACAAUCAUGUGGUGAAUGAGACUUGUACAUGAGAAGAAGAUAGAACAUGUGAUGCAUGGGAAAUGCUGCAAAGAGAUGAUAACAUUUCAUGUCAAGGCUAUGCACUAUAAUUCACACCCGCUAUUCACCCCUUACUCGGUUCAAAACUGAAAACCGAGAGAGUUGGUGCGGAAAGACAUUAACCUAGGAUCUUGAGUACAUCUUAUUUUCUUAGCAAUUACACUCUACAUUGGACAGGAGAGUGACUAUAUCAACAAUAUUCUGAUGCCUUUUUUUUUUUUUUGAGAAGAAUAUUCUGAUGCCUUUUAUUAGACAAUAGCAUGUAAAAUGGUGAGCAAAAUUUUGGUACAGGACUGCUAAGAUACAGCAGGCAAACCAACUCUUAAUCCACAGAAAAAAAAGACUUAAAAGUGAUAGUAAGGAAUACUAAUUGAUACCGAAAGUUAUCAGAAGAAGAUCGCACAGACCUGGAUCUCUGGGACGUCAAACUGCUUUGUUGUACCAUCUUCAGCCUCAGCAACAACUGGGCAUCCCUUUUGGAUUAGCCCCCCAACCCAUAUUUGGCCCGUCAGCUUAGGAUUUUUGGGGUCCUCAAUGUUAUACUGUCUCACAUCUCCAUGAAGCCAGUUCACAAAGUAUAGAAAACGAUCAUCAAGUGAGAUCAGAAAAUCAGUUAUAAGCCCAGGCAUCUCCGGAAGAAUCCAGUUCUGCACCUUCAAUGGUUUCACUGAUAUUGCAACCUGGAAAAAUGUAUUAGGAUUUAUUGGGUACUCCGGACCUAGUACUUUAAUUUUUUCCAAAACAUAAAAGAAAAUAAGGAUUCAAAAGACAGUAAGAAUGAAUCGAAUUACCUCAUGGCUCCACGAACCAUCAUCUGUCUUGAAGAAUCGCACCAUGUUACUUGUCAAGGCACACCCAACAAAUCCAGUGUCCUUAGAAGGAUCAUGCAGGAACCUUAUCUGCAAACAGUGAGAUUCAGUUAUAAAACAGAUCCAGAGUCGCCUGAUGUCUUUAUAUAGGAAAAUAAACUGUGAAAACGAGUACUGCUGAAUGUUGAUUAAGUUUAUACAACUCGCCUCCAAGGGUAAGAGUCCUGUAUUUCCAAGAUCCAAUGUUUGUUUCAAUUCACCUUCUGGCCAGCUGUAUACAUGAAGAUGCCUCCCAUACAGUCCAUCCGAGACAUGCUGAGGGUUGAAACCUUUAGUGAAAGCAGCAGGGGCACCCCAUGAUGUGCUUAUCAUUGUCUUGUGUCGCGGCUGGUACCAGAAAUCAUAGCCAAAAAGUGGACUGUGCCCUGGUUUCUCCCACCUGUCAGAUGUUAGGAUAUCUAUAUGUAAUCAAAACUGUGGAAGUGGCAGAUGUCUUCAACCUACCAAGGCUACCAUGCAACCAAGCCCAGAGAAGUGGGGUUCGAUCUCUUUCAAAUGUUUAAUAAGGAUGCACAUAAAUGUUAGGUAUGAUCAAUCUCAUGUUCCAUGUUUAUAUUGUCAACAUAUAAACUCAAAUUUUACGAUAUUGAUGUGUGUGGGAAUCAGUCAAUUCCACAUGGUGUUAUAUGACAGUUUCUUCAAAAUCUACAAUAAAUGAAUUGAGGUUUCCAGCGGAAGGUCAUACCUGCCCUUCACAUUAAACUCAGAGUCAAGGAGAAGAAAUCCAUUUCCUACAGCAUUGCCAUCUUUAUCUCCUAGGCAAGAAACCAGUAGAUCGCCCGAAGCAAGGCAAUGGGAUGUGUGUGGAUAUGCCAAUCCAGUCUUCUGAACAAUAUCUGCAGGGUCAACAACUUUAUGCAAAGAGGGAGCCUUCGGGUUUGUUUUUGUGUCUAUCACAUAUAUACGACCAGAUCUGAAAGAUAAAAUAGGAUUAAUAAGAAGUGCAAUACUUUGGCCUACACAUAUAUACAAGCUUGAAAGACCUCACUCAGAAUCUUACAGAAAAGAGCCGGUAAUGCUUAAGUGAUAUUUAAAGCAUGCAGAACUUGUCAAAUAAUAGGGAGUAGCAAGUAUAUAUAAACAUUAAUUGAUGUCACUUAUAUUACUAUAUGUUCCAUCAAUUCACAACAUUGGUCUCUGUGUAAGAAGAUGCUGAUUUUUUAAACUUUCGGAUAGUUGAUUUUGACACUCCGGUCAGGCCAAACAUGAUGAUCGAAAUGCUUAUGUUUGUUUCGAGGGAAAUUUCAAAACUUCAACCAAGGAUGUCAUUCCUAGACAAACAAUCUUAAAAAUGCUCCAAAUACUUAAUCAGCUAAUGAAAUUCGUAUCUCCUGUACUAUGAGAAAUGGUAAAGAAAUCACAGGUAGCAGAAGACAAAAUGUUCAGUAGAACAGCUUCAACUGCUCGAUUACAUGUAAAGCCUCAGUUUUAGAUGAAAUUAAGCAUAGUGAAUCGCAACAUCAUGAAAAAUAAGUGAUACUCCAAACUAUUUGCGAUCUUUCCUUUCACCAAGGUUGCACCACAUCAACAUACAUCAAUUGUGCUUUUAAUAAACAUUUUCAGAUCGAGGAGGUUCCAGCUUGAAAAUUUUGAUCUGUGCGGAUUCUUCUCAAAUUUCUUUUCGUUUAUCCUUAACCAUUUCAGACUGGCUGCCUAACAAGAAAUUUCACUUGCUUAACUUCAUAAGAACUACUUUUUCAAUUAAGACCAAACAGUAUAACAGUCCAUGCAACAUGAAAUUUAGUAUCUUACAUUAAUGCAGGUAGUACAAGGAAACGCCGUUCUGCAGAUGGAUCUCCAUGGCAAGAGCUGCACGAGUUCCAGCCAGUGUGAUGCAGUUCAUCACCUAAAUGCGGCACGGGCAGCCUGUGGAUUACUUUGGAAUAAGUAGGCGAACUUGGAUCGACAUCAACCGUGGCAAGGUAAUCCGGCUUCUCUAUUCCCGUUCCUAAUUUGCAAUAGCAUUUCGAAGAAUUAACAUCAAUUUUACAUCUUCAUUGCCAAAUGCAAGCAGAAAAACAGUCCAUGUAUAUAAUUCUUUAUAAGCAAUAAUUUAAAGAAACAAUAAAAUUUGUAGAAUUAUCAGAGAAACGGGCCAAAAACCCACUUCCAACAAACACCGAUACUAUCCCAACUUAAUAAUUACCACUUGCCCAAUCCAUUAGGGGUAAGAUUUUAUCAUAAAAGCCACAGUGUUAAUUAGAGUGAAGUUAGAAUAUUUAAACUAUUAAAUUUGCUUUUACUAUAAUCAAACACGCCCUCUCCCAUGAAAUCCAAUUAAUGAGUUCCAUACAUUGACAAUCACGUGGAACAAGGCACGCCGAGCCAAGGGACCAAAGGACCCACCAUCAUCGCCACGUGGAGCCAAGGCAUGUGGGGCCAAGGGAUCCAAGGACCCACAAUCAUUGCCUUUAUAGAAUUAUUAAAGAGACGGAUCAAAGACUCACCUCUAACAACAUCGAUAUUAUCGUCAACUUGAUAAUUACCAUUUGUCUAAUUCAUUAGGUGAAAGGUUUUAUCACAAAAAACAUCAAUAUUAGUUAAAAUGAAAUUAGAAUAUUUAAACUUAUUACUUUUCUUUUACUAUGUCGAUGUGGGAUUCAACAAAAUUAAGGAGAUAAAGUUCAUAAAUCCCUUCAAAGUUCAAAUCUUUUACUUGUAACCUAACCAAUUUAAGAUUUUACUAUAAAUUCAGAAAAAAAAAAAACAGAGAACAAAUUAAAAAUUAAAAACCCAAAUCACAGAAGAUAAUUUGUUUGUUAAUUUUAUUUUAUGCAAGAUGUAUGUACAACGAGGGUGGGGGAGUAAGUUUCUACCCAUGAUUCAACGGAGAAGAAAUGAAGGCUUGAAUAUUUGUGAUGAGGGAAAAAGUGCAAUCGGGUACCUGAGUAAACGGCAGUUACAUAGAUGAGAGCCUCUCUCGGACCAGCCAUGGCGUCGAGCGGGGUGGCGUACCCGGGCCCACUUUUGCAGCACGCUCCUCCAUUGCCCAGGCUCUUCCCUACCGUUCCGUGUUGCAGCACCGCCACGUCCGUUGCCAUCUCUCUCUCUCUCUCUCUAAAACGCGCGCUUUCUCUGUCUCUCUCUCUGGCUCUGAUCAGAUGAAGAAGAUGAACAGAAUAAUCACGGAGUGAACAAAGCCAUUGGGAUGGGCAAAAUACAUAUACAACUCUUCUGAUGACGUGGCAGAGUUCAAUAAGCCGGUUUUAUCUGUAUGUGGUCUACAUUUUUGUCUUGAUGCGCAUGGUAUACAUCUCUUUGAUGACGUGGCAGAGUUCUAUAAACCGGUUUUAUCUGUAUGUGGUCCACAUUUUUGUCUUGAUGCGCAUGGUAUUUCACGGAAAUGGAUUUUCUUCUAAUUCAUUCAUUCUAAUUUACUAAAUUAGAGGAUUCGUAUAGUUGAAAAUUAAUCUAACGAUUUAAGUUAUUAUAACUUUUAAAAUAAGUUUUUAUUUGUAGCUGUUUGAUCAAAUUUCAAUGAUACGAAUCCUUUAAUUUGGUGAAUUAGGAGAAAGAGAUCCGACGAGGAUCCCUUUUCCGUAUUUCACUGCCCAGUUUCGAUUAGUACGGUAACAACCACACCACGUGUCAUAAGAGAAUUGGAUAGAGAAUAAUAACCACAUGAGUAUUCUACUACUCUGUACCAUGGAUUUAAAUAUCGAUAUUAUCGGCGAAAUAUCGCCGAUAAUAUCGAUUUUUCGGGUAAUGGAUAUUUAAACUGGUUUCCGUGUAGUUUUCGUCCAAAUAUCGUGAUAUUAUCGAUAUUAUCGAUAAUAUCGCGAUAUUUUGGAAAUAUCGAGAAAUUUCGUUGAAUGGUGCAAUCGGAUUCCGAUAUCGGACGCCGGAGAAGAACGCCGGAGAUGGUGUGCCUGUUCCCGAGCCCAUUUCGUCCCAAAAACCUUGCAAAAACACGAAUUUUAACUUAAAUUUCACAUAUAUACUCCAAAUUUCACGCAUGCAUCAACGAUUCAACAUAUGUGAUAUCGGUUUAGGGCUUAGGGUUUCAAUGGAAUCUCACCUGAAAUAUCGAUGACUGGGCCAACUCCUUGCUCAGCGGCGCACCACCAGAGACGACUGAGGGAGAAGAAGAAGGAUGGAGAGACUGAGGGAGAAGGAUGGACGGAGAGACUGAGGGAGAAGGAUCGAGAUCGAGGCUGAAGGAGAAGGAUAGACGGACGGAGAGACUGAGGGAGAGAAGGAUCGAGAUCGAGGCUGAGGGAGAAGGAUGGACGGACGACGGAGAGACUGAGGGAGAGAAGGAGAGACUGCGUGUGUGGUGUGUGCGUGUGUGGUCUGUGCGUGUUUUGCAGAGAAUAAGAGACUGAGGGAGAGAAGCAGAGAAAGGGAGAGCCUGGGAAAGUGGAGAGAAAGAGAGGACUGAGAGAGAAGAUAGAUGUGAAGGAUGGGGAAUCGGGAUGGAGGGGAGGUCACACCACACACGUGGUGCUGAAAUGGGGAAGCAUGCUGCACCUUCAAAGUUUCAAUUUCAACCACCCACCCAACCAUGAUUUUUACUUUUAAUUUUAAAAAGUUAAAUAUAACCAUUCAAAAUAUCUUAAGUUAUAUGACUUAAUGUAUUUUUAAAUUAUAGAUUUGUUGGAUAUUCUUUUUACAUUUUAUCAUUCGAUUUAUUUGUGGGCUAACGAGGGAAACCAAACUAGCACAUAUGAACAAUAAUUAGUAAUUUAUUUAGAGUUUUAAUACUCACAUCCUUAUUAAACUCCUAAUUAAUUUUCAAUUCAAACAUUUCAAAUAUAUAAAAAAUAAGAAUAAGAAUAAGUUUGUACCCAUUAAUUUUUAUAAAAAAAAAUUGAUAUGUACCCGUUAUAAGAAUAAGUCACUCAUGUAUCUUACCAUGCAAUAUAUAAAGUGUAAAAUAUUGUACUAAUUCAUUAUAUAUAAAUGAUUAUGGUGUGUUUAAACUUCUUUCAUUAAUUACUACAUAUAUAAAUGAUUAAUUACUACAUAUUUUCUACACUCACAAUGUUUGUCAGCUCGCUAUAUAAUCAACUUGAUAAUGUUAAAUCCAUCAUGCAAUGCAUUUCCUUCCAAUUUUUGU
rnacentral:lncRNA from 1 species